GCUACAGACCCAUAUUAUCAACUGCAAUGAAACAAUGCUGGAAAGGAAUUGAAUAUUUUGGUGGAGAGUACUUGUAUGAGCUUCAAAAUCAUCUCAGAUCAAAGAGCUCGUGGAUACUGGGCUCAUUACGUCAUGGCGUGCCCUUUGGAAGAAACUCCCACAGUCAUGUGAUUGUUUUUCCACUGCCCUCUGAAAAAGUCCUCAGGCUCAGAAGUUCCCUUUGCUCUGACUCCCUCUCCCGUCCCUGGGAUUAUGUUCCAUAUCAGUUAUGCUGUGGCUGUUCAAACCAUCCUCUCUAGAUUAGCAAGGAUUUUUACUUUUCCCGGAUGCUGCUGAGAUCUCCUGUUGAUCUGAGGAAGGUGUUGGGAAACAGUGUGAAUGGUGGACCAUCAGCAACACCUUGAAGAAGGGAUUUUUCACCCCAAAGUGUGACGCUUCAGGAAAAUGUUGGUGCCAUUCCUACUAGAUAAAGCAAGGGAGGAUCAGGCUUUGUGGACCAUGCCAUGGCCUGGGGCCUCAGCUCUUGUGUAGUGGAUUAGAAGUGGUAUCAUGGUGUUAUCACACAUGGGAGACUAACACCUCUCGCAAUAUUUUUAAAGCAGGCCAGAGCAUGCAAGGUUAUGUGUCAUGUUGGGUGAUGUGUCUGGCGUGUCAAGCCACAAAAAGUGGAGAACAGGCUGCAUGGAGGGGCAGACAAGUGUCAGCUGGGAAUACUCAUGAUGGUCCAAGGCAAGGGAGCAACCAAGAUGUUGGCUUUUCAGUGCUGACUGCUCUGUAUCUAUGGACAACUUAGAGUUCACAACCAGAUGCAGAUUAAUGCAGAGAAGCCAGACAAAAUCAGUCUUCUCAUUCCUGCUUAAAUGGUUACUACUGAUUUUUCUCAUGAAGCAAGGCAUAUUGCUUCAUCUAUAUGGCAGCCAUGGAUAAUGGCUGUCAUGUUGUUCCCAAGGAAUACUUUUUGGAAACUGGUCCUUUAAAUCUGGCAGAGCAAAACAUCUUUGGUUCUAACACAGUCAUUUUGAGAUUUGAUCUUCCUCUCAGGCUGGUAAGCAUUCUUAAAUUCUUUUUCUUCCUUCUUUUACUUUGAAGUGUUGCUGAGGAAACUUGAUGACUUUAGCACACUGCCUGUGAUAACAUUGAUAAAAAUAAUCUCUGUAGCAGUCUGGAGCCCUCUAAGAAGCAGACUGCAUGCACAGCUCAGGCAGCUUACAAAGCUCUGACAGUAGGAAAGCGUGGCCAGGGCCGGAGAUGGGUGGUAAAACAAGCCCCAUUUCUUGUAGCCUGUUCAGCCAGGAGGGGCUGGGGAGAAUGGUCACACUCAGAGAUUACUUUGGCAGCUCCUUAAGUUUCCCUGCUUGUAGCCACUUUUCAUUCUCUGGAGGCUGAGGUCCCUGUUUGGUGGGCUGGGCAAAUGUGUUUUGAAUUGCCACUCAGGGUAUGUCUGAGCACUGAAAUGAGCACUAGGGCUGCUCACAGUGCAGAUCAGCAUGCAUUCUGUUAGCUCUCUAAAUUACAGGAAUGGGACCACUUAUUUUUGAGAAAGAAAUCUCGGCUACACCUUCUUCUAAGCUCUAAUUAUUUACACAUACACAAGAAAAGAGAUUUUCCUCAACUUUACAUACUUAAGGCAGUAGCUAAAUAUCUCAAGAUCUCAUUACUUUAACAUACUCUUUGCUUUAAUAACCUGCUUUAAUUUAUUUUUAUUUAAUGUAUUUUACUGUGUUGGAUCCAUAUCUUUUAAAAAGACAAGAGGAAAUAUGAGUAAUUAGAAAGUAGUAACAUCUGUACUGAAUGAUUCUUAUUGCUUAAUAAAAAACUUUGAAAGUGAAAUAAAAUAUUAAGA
ensembl:lncRNA